rnacentral:rRNA from 1 species
UACAGAGGAUGCAAGCGUUAUCCGGAAUGAUUGGGCGUAAAGCGUCUGUAGGUGGCUUUUUAAGUCCGCCGUCAAAUCCCAGGGCUCAACUCUGGACAGGCGGUGGAAACUACCAAGCUGGAGUACGGUAGGGGCAGAGGGAAUUUCCGGUGGAGCGGUGAAAUGCGUAGAGAUCGGAAAGAACACCAACGGCGAAGGCGGCUCACUGGACCGGUUCUGACGCUGAGGCGCGAAAGCGUGGGGAGCAAACGGG